CCUACGGGCGGCUGCAGUGGGGAAUAUUGCACAAUGGGCGCAAGCCUGAUGCAGCCAUGCCGCGUGUGUGAAGAAGGCCUUCGGGUUGUAAAGCACUUUCAGCGGGGAGGAAGGCGGUGAGGUUAAUAACCUCAUCGAUUGACGUUACCCGCAGAAGAAGCACCGGCUAACUCCGUGCCAGCAGCCGCGGUAAUACGGAGGGUGCAAGCGUUAAUCGGAAUUACUGGGCGUAAAGCGCACGCAGGCGGUCUGUCAAGUCGGAUGUGAAAUCCCCGGGCUCAACCUGGGAACUGCAUUCGAAACUGGCAGGCUAGAGUCUUGUAGAGGGGGGUAGAAUUCCAGGUGUAGCGGUGAAAUGCGUAGAGAUCUGGAGGAAUACCGGUGGCGAAGGCGGCCCCCUGGACAAAGACUGACGCUCAGGUGCGAAGGCGUGGGGAGCAAACAGGAUUAGAUACCCUAGUAGUC
rnacentral:rRNA from 1 species